rnacentral:rRNA from 1 species
GCAAGUCGAACGCGAAAGCUUCCUUCGGGGAGCAGCUUGUGGCGCACGGGUGAGUAACACGUAGGUAAUCUAUCCUUGGAUGGGGAAUAACAUCGAGAAAUCGGUGCUAAUACCGCAUAAUGCAGCGGCACCUAAUGGUGACAGUUUCUAAAGCGGGGGAUCGUAAGACCUCGCGUCUGAAGAGGAGCCUGCGGCGGAUUAGCUAGUUGGUAAGGUAACGGCUUACCAAGGCUAUGAUCCGUAACCGGCCUGAGAGGGCGGUCGGUCACACUGACACUGACAUACGGGUCAGACUCCUACGGGAGGCAGCAGUCGGGAAUUUUGGGCAAUGGGCGAAAGCCUGACCCAGCAACGCCGCGUGAAGGAUGAAAUCCCUCGGGAUGUAAACUUCGCAAGAACGGGAAGAAUAAGUCUGCGUGAAU